rnacentral:rRNA from 1 species
UACGUAGGGUGCAAGCGUUUGUCCGGAAUUAUUGGGCGUAAAGAGCUCGUAGGCGGUUUGUCGCGUCUGCUGUGAAAACCCGAGGCUCAACCUCGGGCCUGCAGUGGGUACGGGCAGACUAGAGUGCGGUAGGGGAGAUUGGAAUUCCUGGUGUAGCGGUGGAAUGCGCAGAUAUCAGGAGGAACACCGGUGGCGAAGGCGGGUCUCUGGGCCGAUACUGACGCUGAGGAGCGAAAGCGUGGGGAGCGAACAGG